UUACGGUCAUAUGAUGCUGAAACACCGGUUUGCGUACGAUCACCAAAGUUAAGCAACGUUGAGCCUGGUCAGUAACUAAAUUGGUGACCACUUGGGAAUAUCAGGUGCUGUAAG